GACGAACGCUAGCGGCGUGCUUAACACAUGCAAGUCGAGCGGAGCGGCGAACGGGUGAGUAACGGGUGAGUAACUGCCCCCCUCUCUGGGAUAACAGGUGGAAACGGCUGCUAAUACCGGAUAGGGGGGGCUGAAUCGGGUCUUAUGAGCUUGUUGGGGGGGUAGUGGCGGACCCAGGCGACGAAGGGUAGCCGGCCUGAGAGGGCGACCGGCCACAUUGGGCUGCGAGACGCACCAAUGUCCUACGGGAGGCAGUGGUGGGGAGUCUUGCCCAACGGAGUAAAGCCUGAGGCAGAGACGCGGGUUCGGGAGGACGGCCUUCGCGUUGUAAACCGCUUUAAGCUAUGACGCGGUAGUGGCAGAAGAAGCACCGGCUAACUACGUGCCAGCCGCCGCGGUAAUAC
rnacentral:rRNA from 1 species